rnacentral:rRNA from 1 species
UACGGGGGGGGCAAGCGUUGUUCGGAAUUACUGGGCGUAAAGCGCUCGUAGGCGGCCAACUAAGUCAGACGUGAAAUCCCCAGGCUUAACCUGGGAACUGCGUCUGAUACUGGAUGGCUUGAGAUUGGGAGAGGGAUGCGGAAUUCCAGGUGUAGCGGUGAAAUGCGUAGAUAUCUGGAGGAACACCGGUGGCGAAGGCGACAUCCUGGACCAACACUGACGCUGAGGAGCGAAAGCCAGGGGAGCAAACGGG